UCCCGAAAAACAGCACGACAUCUGGCCGUCAUUUUUCAGCGUUCCGGUCCUGGUCGAGUGAGAGACAUACAUGUGCGCAACGUAAUGGGCCAGACUAUCCUGCAUACGAUUUAUUAAAUUCGCGUCGUUGUUGUGGUGUAAAGAAAUAGAGAGAGAGGGGGAAAAAAACAUGAAUAAGAGUCUGACGAGAUUGCAUCUGCCAAUGGCUAUGGUUCUGGCGAUGGCAAUCUUACAUGGCAGCUGGGAAGCCACGGAUGGAAAAACGCAUCGCUAGCACAUAUACCAUAAGACAACGUCCAGGCAUUUCGUUAAGGGCCUAGCAUUCGAGCCGCAGUAGUGCCAUUCCAUCACAUGGAUUCUCACACAAAGACCUAAAAGAGCGAAGUCUUGGGUCGUUUAUUGGUGCAAGGUCUUGGCCUAAUCAAAUUAAGUUGGGAAUUUUUUUUAUUUUUAUUUGCUUUUCUUUCUCUCGUUUCAACGGAAAAAAGCAUCUGGAGUAGGAAGACGGGCGCCAUGGCCGUGACUCCGGUCUCCAAACACUCUGCGUAAUUGAACAUCCCCAUGAUUCUUUUUUCUUAUUCAUCAUCAUCUAUCACUCUUGGGACCUGAAGGGGAGUUUUGGAAUUGUAUGUCAACCAAACGAACUAUGUCAAUUCUCACGGUUUCUCUCUGAUGCAAAGUUGGCAAGAAAGACGCAAAAAGCAUGGACGUCACCUGACAAACUCCGGUCUCGAGAUCAAAUCAUAAAUAAAUUGUCUAACUUUUCUCCUCUACAUGCAUAAUAUUAACUACUUUAUAUUCCUGAAGCCUUGUCCAUAAAAACUGAACAAAUUUGCAUGUCGAGAAUGAUUGCCCCGUCAAAAUGGUGACAGAUGAACCACAAAACAUCUACUGUUGCGAAAAAAGAGUGUGUGACCAAUCGAAAUGUGUGCAGUUGGCGUAAUCAAGCAGCGGAGCUAUACAGAACCACAAACUUAGGGAGAAUGUAGGUUGCCAGGGUUUCCAUGGCCUAUUAAAUACACCAGGCAAAGAAA